rnacentral:rRNA from 1 species
ACAUGCUUACAACAUAGCAUUAAUGCACCAAAUUCCAUUAGAACUCUGCAAUUAAGCACACUUGAGCUAGAGUAGUACUGGGAUGGGUGCCCGGGAAGUCCUUGUGUUUUACAUGCC